AGGAAGCGGAGGAUGACUACUUCAAAAGCUGGGCUCCUGCCAAGUCUCUGGAUCAAGAACGAGAGGCUGAACCUGGCAGAUAUGAGGACCCUAAAGCUCACUCGAGUUCAGCCAAGACGACAGUACAGGACGGUCCAGAUGCCACCAAGGACCCCUGUCUGAAGGUGCGCUGCCCCCGCCACAAGGUGUGUGUCAGCCACGACUACCAGACAGCCAUCUGCACCAAUCACAAGCACCCAACUCACAGUGUGAAACCCAGGAAAGGCAGUGCAGGACACAAGCACAGGCCUGAAGCCGCAGCUCAUGGUAAAUGUAGGCUCUGCUCAGGGCUCCAGUCAAGUCCUGUGUGUGGAUCUGAUGGACACACCUACUCC